CCUACGGGUGGCAGCAGUGGGGAAUAUUGGACAAUGGGGGGAACCCUGAUCCAGCCAUGCCGCGUGUGUGAAGAAGGCUCUCGGGUUGUAAAGCACUUUCAGUGAGGAAGAACGCCUGGUGGUUAAUACCCAUCAGGAAAGACAUCACUCACAGAAGAAGCACCGGCUAACUCCGUGCCAGCAGCCGCGGUAAUACGGAGGGUGCGAGCGUUAAUCGGAAUUACUGGGCGUAAAGCGCGCGUAGGUGGCUUGAUAAGCCGGUUGUGAAAGCCCCGGGCUCAACCUGGGAACGGCAUCCGGAACUGUCAAGCUAGAGUGCAGGAGAGGAAGGUAGAAUUCCCGGUGUAGCGGUGAAAUGCGUAGAGAUCGGGAGGAAUACCAGUGGCGAAGGCGGCCUUCUGGACUGACACUGACACUGAGGUGCGAAAGCGUGGGUAGCAAACAGGAUUAGAUACCCCGGUAGUC
rnacentral:rRNA from 1 species